GAGGGGCCAGUCCCGAGGGGACGGGGCUCCAACCUCACCUUCCUGCUGUUGCAUGCAUGUGCAGUAGUGGCCGUGGGAAAGAGUGUGUGUGAGUCUGUGUGAUCCCUCGGUGUCUUUUCUUUGGCAUUCUAGUUUUAGGGAGCCCCUCCCUGCCUGCACCUCCACCCCCACCCAUACCCCGCCCAGAGGCAGAUGGGCACAGACACGCUGUGGCAUUUGGUCCAGGCCUUGCGGGGACAGGCUCAGUGCGCGGAAUUCACAGCUCCUUCCCCUGCCCCACCUCCCCUCCUCCCACCGAUGAAAUGUUGGUAAUUCAAUCCACGGAGAAGCCCGAUGUCCCGGGGAGAGGCUGGCAUGGGCAGUGUGUGUGUGUGUGUGUGUGUGUGUGUGUGUGUGUGUGUGUGUGUGUGAGAGAGAGAGAGAGAGAGAGAGAGAGAGAAAGAGACAGAAAGAGAGAGACAGGCAAGCAGAGAGAGAGGAGACACUUGCAUUUUUCCAAGCUGGUGGGCUCCCAGCUCAUGCCCUUCCUUGUACAAAUGGGGACCCCAAGCCUUAGGGGCAGGGAGGGGACAUGUCUGAACAAAUGAGUGGGAGCAGGUUGGGACCAGAAUUCAGCUCUCCCAGGUCAGUGUUUCCGAUACAAAUAGCCCUUGAAGAGCACUUGCUAUGGGCUAAGUAAGCAUUGGGUCAGGCUGAGGGGUGGAGGGUGCUUGGACAGAAAGAAUCCUGAGUUGCAGCCACUUUUAGAAAAGUAGGGGACUCUGCGAAAGGGAAAGGGGAUAUGUCUGUGUUUUGGGGGAGCAGCCAUGGAGAAGCAGGCAGGGCUAGAUUGUGGGGGUCCAGCCCACCAGCCUGGGGAGCCUGGUUUGCUCCUGAAGGGAAUGGGAAGGGGUUAGAGGGUCAAGGGUAGUGGGUGGGACGGGCACAGAUUUGGGUUUCAGAAGGAGAACUGGCUUCUGUGGGGAGGUGGAGGGGCUGCUGGGGCCCACUGUCACCAAACAGCCGAGUGCCCCAUCUGGGCAAGAGGUAGUAGGUCUGAUGGGGUAGGGGGCGGGAUUGCUAGGCUGGAGACGACCCCAACUCUGGCCUUUUUCACCACUCGCCCCUCCUCCCCAUCAGCUUUCCCCUGAGAGGCCUCACACUUGAACUUAGAGGAAGAGUGAGUGGCCCUGGAGCUGGGCCUUCCAGUAGGAGCAGGGUUUCUGCAGGGAAGCAGAGAGAGGAGCCCGGGAGAAGGCACACGGUGAGCAAAGGCAGGGAGGUGGCCCACUGUCCUACCCCCACAGUGGCCUGUGCUUUUUGUCCACUGCAAGGAAGAGCUUAGAACCCCUUUACCUAGUCCCUGCAGGCAACGGAGGCGCAUGCUGCUAGGGGUCUUUGGGAUGCCUGGAACUUUAGGUCAAGGCUAACGAAGAAAAUGUGAGCCCACAGUAGGCCCUGCUCAAAUUCCACCUGCAGAAGGAUAAUUCCUAGAGCCUGUGAGAGCUGCUGGCCCGUCCAGACUCACCCUGCCCCUCUCCCCAGACCUGCCCUGGGCUCUGGGACCUGACAACCCCAGAUGGCAUCAUCUGGGCCCCUUGUUGUCUGGUUUCUGGUUGGCCUUGGCGAACUGGGGGGGUGAGAGCUGAAGUGGGUCAUAGGAAUUAUUUCCCUGCUGAGUUGCCAUGGACUGGCUUUGUCCCUCUCCUGCUCUGGACACAGAUCCUCUCUGGGUUCUAGUAACUGUUCCUACCCCUCCCCCUUCAGGCUUGAGGGUGGUAGCAGCUUUCCACUCCUACUAGCCCCUGGGUGCAGCACAAUUGC
rnacentral:lncRNA from 10 species